UUGAACGCUGGCGGCAGGCCUAACACAUGCAAGUCGAGCGGCAGCGCGGGGCAACCUGGCGGCGAGCGGCGGACGGGUGAGUAACGCGUAGGAAUCUACCCAGUAGCGGGGGAUAGCCCGGGGAAACUCGGAUUAAUACCGCAUACGCCCUAAGGGGGAAAGCAGGGGAUCGUAAGACCUUGCACUAUUGGAAGAGCCUGCGUUGGAUUAGCUAGUUGGUAGGGUAAAGGCCUACCAAGGCGACGAUCCAUAACUGGUCUGAGAGGAUGAUCAGUCACACCGGAACUGAGACACGGUCCGGACUCCUACGGGAGGCAGCAGUGAGGAAUAUUGGGCAAUGGGCGCAAGCCUGAUCCAGCCAUGCCGCGUGUGUGAAGAAGGCCUUCGGGUUGUAAAGCACUUUCAGUAGGGAGGAAGGAUGUUGUGUUAAUAGCACAGCAUUUUGACGUUACCUACAGAAGAAGCACCGGCUAACUCUGUGCCAGCAGCCGCAGUAA
rnacentral:rRNA from 1 species